CAACCAACUGAGCCACCCAGCCAAGGCAUAAAAAUAACACAUGAAAUGUAACAAUAAAAAUAAAAUAAAAUAAAAUAAAAAGGUCUGCUUUUAGAUGUGACUUAACACAAGUUCAUGUGAAAAGACUCAUCAGUUUAAGUGCUCUAUACUUUCAACCUGCUGGGUGUACUGUCAAAAUGACUGCAAUCUUGGGAUGCAUUUCUGAAGAAAAAAAGCAAACACCAGAGUAAGCAAUAUGAUAGCACCUUCCUAUAUGGAUAAAGUCAUUCUGGGUUACUAUGUUCAGUUUCUUAUGAUAUGUUGCUCAGGUUUUGACAAUUAUGUAAGUAAUACCUGGGCAUGAUAAAAGUUCAAACAGAAGCUCAGGGUAUGUUUCCCAUUUCCAAAAGGCAACAACUUUAUUUGAUUUUUUUUGACAUUUAAAUUUUUCUUCUAAUUUGCUGUUUCUUUUUUCUCAUUUAAUUGAAUUUAUUGGGGUAACAUUUGUUCACAAAACCGUACAACUUUCAACAAAACAUCACCUGCACAUUACAUCAUGCACCCAUCACCCCAAUUAAAGUCUCUCUUCUCAUUUCCCCCACCCCUUGCCCACCUUCGCUUAUCCCCCACCAAUUUUAAAUUUUCACUUUAGUUUUCUUAGUUAUUACAAUCAUCACUUUAAUCAUUUCUGAAAAUAUUACCAUUUUAAAGAAUAUAGUAUACAGUGUAGUUACACCAUCUUCAACAACACUUCCUGCAGACUCUCAAUUAUUUUUUAAAAGUAUUUUUAUUCUUAUAUUGGUUGUAUUCUAGUUAAUGGCCUCUCAGCUUCAGUCAGCAUUUGAUAAUUCUCUAAAACAUAAUUAACAUGUAAAUUUCCUUUGAUUUAUUUGCCAGCUUUCCUUUAUAAAGCUAUAACAUUACUUCUACAUUGUUUCGAUUUAUUCACCCUGUGUUGUAAACAUAAGGAUUAUAUAUUUUAAUAGGUUAGUGCUAAAAACUGGAAACCAUUAAAUAGUAUAUUCAGUGAUUCUUUUACUUGAAAUAUUAUUCACAACAGUACUGUGAAUGAAUUGACCUAUAGAUUAAUGCCUUAUCAUAUAUUCCCUACAAGGAAAUCUCUUUUCUUAUCUACUGUCAA